UCUCUGGUGGCUCAGACGGUAAAGAAUCUGUCUGCAAUGCAGGAGACCAGGGUUCGAUCCCUGACUUGGGAA
rnacentral:tRNA from 1 species